rnacentral:rRNA from 1 species
UACGACUACAUAUCAGGCAUAUCAAUAAGCGGAGGAAAAGAAACUAACUAGGAUUCCCUUAGUAACGGCGAGUGAAGCGGGAAGAGCUCAAAUUUGAAAUCUUCAAGGUUCUACCUUGACGAAUUGUAGUUUAAAGAAGCGUUUUCUGUUGGAGUUUUGGUAAAAGUUCUUUGGAAUAGGACAUCAUAGAGGGUGAGAAUCCCGUAUUUGACCAUUUCUUCCAGCUGUGUGAUACACUUUCAAAGAGUCGGAUUGUUUGGGAAUGCAGUCCAAAAUGGGUGGUAAAUUUCAUCUAAAGCUAAAUAUUGGCGAGAGACCGAUAGCGAACAAGUACCGUGAGGGAAAGAUGAAAAGAACUUUGAAAAGAGAGUUAAACAGUACGUGAAAUUGUCAAAAGGGAAGCGUUUGACACCAGUGUUGUUUUCUCGAAAAUCAAUUAAAAAUAGUUGGAUUUUGUAUUGUGAUGACUUUAUCAGCUUCCUGUACUUUUUUCUUACUAUUUUUAAUGCACUUUUCGUUUAACAAGUCAACAUCAAUUUCUUUUGUUGUAAAAGAGUCAUUGGAAGGUGGCUUUUCACUUCGGUGAAAGUGUUUAUAGCCUUUGGCUUCUGCAAUCGGAGAGAUUGAGGUCUGCAGCGUAGAUCCUUCGGGGUUAGAUACGUAGAUGCUAAGUUAUAAUUAUUUAUAAACAACUUGUUGAUUAUAAGUAAUCAUGUAGCUUACUCGUUUGCGCUAUUUUACCUACGCUUAGGAUGUUGAUCUCUCACAGUCGAGC